rnacentral:rRNA from 1 species
ACUCAAAUGAAUUGACGGGGACUCGCACAAGCAGUGGAGCAUGUGGUUUAAUCCGAUACAACGCGUAGAACCUUACCAAGGCUUGACAUGUUGGGCAAAGCUAGGGAAACCUAGCGGAGGUUAUCCUAACACAGGUGCUGCAUGGCCGUCGUCAGUUCGUGCCGUGAGGUGUAUGGUUAAGUCCUAUAACGAACGCAACCCUUGUACUUAGUUGCCAGCAUUUAGUUGGGGACUCUAAGUAGACUGCCAAGGUAACUUGGAGGAAGGAAAGGAUGACGCCUGGUCGUCAUGGCCCUUAUGCCUUGGGCGACACACGUGCUACGGUGGUUAGGACAAAGGGUCGCCAACCCGCGAGGGGGAGCUAAUCCCAAAAAACUAACCGUUUCGAAUUGAAGGUUGCAACUCACCUCCAUGAAGAAGGAAUUGCUAGUAAUCGCAAAUCAGCCACGUUGCGGUGAAUACGUUCUCGAGUCCUGUACACACCGCCCGU